GUGUGUGUGUGUGUGUGUGUGUGUGUGUGUGUGUGUGUGUUCCAGCCUUACAAGAGAAUGGCAGGAGGUCCCUGGGCAGGCGCAGGCCUCCAGUGGGAGGCUCAGGAUGGAAGCGGGCGCCCCUGACCUUGAAUGGCCCAAAGCCCAGAAUUCCUACCACGCCCCCGGCGUCCGCGAAGGAGCAGCCAACCUAACCCUACCUGCUGUGACCAGGUGGAGGUGUGUGGUGGAAGGGGAAAGCCGGCCGGCUGGCAAAGCGCUGCGGAGAAAGACACGAGGCUCCUGAGCAGGGAAAGCCGAGGUUGCCACCGCAGGCCUGGCACGACCAGGGCCGUGAUGCCCCGCCCGGCCCGACCCCCGCGCGCAGAGGUACCUGGAGACGAUUUCAACUGAAGUAAUGAAGGCAGUGUCGUGCUGUCGAGAGAAAGGUGGAUCCCAACAACAGGAAACUACCUAAAUCACCGACCAGUUCUGGUGCUGCCCGCGAAGGGCUGCCUCGCCCGCCGCCGCCGCCGCCUCCGCCGCUGCCGCCGCCGCCAAGGAGAGAACCCUGCCAUCGCGCCUGGCCCGGCCCAGCCCAGCCCCUAGGCAACCUGCGCCCGCCAGUGCAACAGAGUGCCCCAGGCGGCCGCAAAUGCGUCAAGGAAGGGGAAGCCACAGGCCCCAGUAAGCCAAAGUCAAGCCCGUUUGCCAACCUGCAUGUCCAUGCCUGUAAGCCCUUCUCUUGGCCAAGGAAGAAAGGAAGAAAGAAAAAAGAAACCCAGGGGCCUGUAUCCCCUGAUUAAACACAGCACAGCACUCCAGGCAGACAUGCCCGGUGGCGGCUCCUUUGCACCAUUGACCUCAGGCCAGACACCUCAGCGCCAACAAUGGGACCUCGGCCUUCCGGCUAGGUUUGCCCCAGGCUGGGCAGGAAACCAGCUCGGCCGAAGACAGGGGCCAUUUCGAGCAGUGGGACCCCAAGACAGCAAACCCAGCCCAGUCAGGACUUGACACUUAGGACAAUAUCUAUCUCUAUAGAAUUUUAGCAUGAUAUGGCUUUUUCCCCCAGAAAACAACAAAUAAACCAGCACCAAGCAAACACAAAGAAACAAAAAGUCAGAACAAACCAGCCCUGCACAGAUGUAAC
rnacentral:lncRNA from 1 species